GAGUGAAAAAGAACCUGAAACCGUGUACGUACAAGCAGUGGGAGCACGCUUAGGCGUGUGACUGCGUACCUUUUGUAUAAUGGGUCAGCGACUUAUAUUCUGUAGCAAGGUUAACCGAAUAGGGGAGCCGAAGGGAAACCGAGUCUUAACUGGGCGUUAAGUUGCAGGGUAUAGACCCGAAACCCGGUGAUCUAGCCAUGGGCAGGUUGAAGGUUGGGUAACACUAACUGGAGGACCGAACCGACUAAUGUUGAAAAAUUAGCGGAUGACUUGUGGCUGGGGGUGAAAGGCCAAUCAAACCGGGAGAUAGCUGGUUCUCCCCGAAAGCUAUUUAGGUAGCGCCUCGUGAAUUCAUCUCCGGGGGUAGAGCACUGUUUCGGCAAGGGGGUCAUCCCGACUUACCAACCCGAUGCAAACUGCGAAUACCGGAGAAUGUUAUCACGGGAGACACACGGCGGGUGCUAACGUCCGUCGUGAAGAGGGAAACAACCCAGACCGCCAGCUAAGGUCCCAAAGUCAUGGUUAAGUGGGAAACGAUGUGGGAAGGCCCAGACAGCCAGGAUGUUGGCUUAGAAGCAGCCAUCAUUUAAAGAAAGCGUAAUAGCUCACUGGUCGAGUCGGCCUGCGCGGAAGAUGUAACGGGGCUAAACCAUG
rnacentral:rRNA from 1 species